CACCGCCCGUCACACCAUGGAAGUUGGUCACGCCCGAAGUCAUUACCCCAACCGAAAGGAGGGGGAUGCCUAAGGUAGGACUGGUGACUGGGGUGAAGUCGUAACAAGGUAGCCGUACCGGAAGGUGUGGCUGGAUCACCUCCUUUUAGGGAGACCUACCCAUUGAAGAAUCGAAAGCCGAAGGCGAAUAGAGAAUCAAAUGGUCUACUCUAGGUCGGUCGAGAAUUGGUCAAGUCUCUUUCAAAGUAUUAUAUUUCCGGUGAUUCCCAGCAACUAGGAAAGACCUAGACUGCUGGUGAUGACCAGCCAGAACCUUGAAAACUGCAUAUAGAUAGAUAAGAGAGCCGAAAUCGAAAGAUAGAAGCAAGUGAAGAACCAAGUGGUCAAGCUAAUAAGGGCUCAUGGU
rnacentral:misc_RNA from 1 species